UAUCUGGAAGUCGGAUUCAUUUGCUCCAUUUUCUUGGAAGAUUGAGGGACACACACAAAAUGCAACAGCCGGUGCAAGCAGCGCCUUUAUGAGAGCUUCACACCUCCGUUUUGUUCUUCUCUGACAUUGUGACGUGGGAAGCAGGAAGGAACCCGCUGGCACACGUGGCAGCCCGGUGGGACGGGAGCGGUAACACAUCCCGGGAAGGUCCUCAAGCGAUGGACUAUUGGAGUUGGUGGUCCUUGUGAAUUUGAGAAACCCGUGAGCAGAAGUCCACCAUAAAACGAUGACCUCUUAGCCACACCACGACCAGCAGCUUCUCAGGACCAGCUCUCCCCCCACACGGAGCCAACCAACCGGAGCCCCGCCGUGUGUGCGGUGGAACCACAGGGGGGAGGGGAGGGAGAAUCCGUGGGCCCCUGGAGGCGAUCCUGUCUUCCCAUCCCCGACGGUGACGCGCUCCUCCGUGAGCCGAGCUGUUCUGUGACUUCCCGCGGCUACGUUCUGUGUGUUCAGGGUCGAGGUCCUUCACGUCUUCCAACAGGUUUGUUCCAAAGUCUCUGAUUAUAUCAGAAUUUAUUCCUUCACGUUAUAAAUGACGUUACUUCUAAACCUCACUUCGCGGUCAUCUAUGGAGAGCAUCCGGGGGCGUUGCUACGUCUCCACACGCUAACGUUACUAUAUCCUUUAUGGAGUUUGGGGCUUUGGUACAUGUGGUCGGGUUUUCUGCACGUAAUGAGUUCGCUUUUCCCUUUGCAAUCCUUACGCCUUUAUUUCUUGUGCUUGCCUGUGCUUGCCAGCCUUUCUAGUAAAUGCUGAAUGCAACAUCCUUGUGUUGGUAAUAA